UGGGGAAUCUUGGACAAUGGGGGCAACCCUGAUCCAGCGAUGCCGCGUGAGCGAAGAAGGCCUUAGGGUUGUAAAGCUCUUUCGCCCGCGACGAUGAUGACGGUAGCGGGAGAAGAAGCCCCGGCUAACUCCGUGCCAGCAGCCGCGGUAAUACGGAGGGGGCUAGCGUUGUCCGGAAUUACUGGGCGUAAAGCGCGCGUAGGCGGUCCACCAAGUCGGGGGUGAAAGCCCGGGGCUCAACCCCGGAAUGUCCUCCGAGACUGUUGGACUGGAGUUCGGGAGAGGAGAGCGGAAUUCCCAGUGUAGAGGUGAAAUUCGUAGAUAUUGGGAAGAACACCGGUGGCGAAGGCGGCUCUCUGGCCCGCAACUGACGCUGAGGCGCGAAAGCGUGGGGAGCAAACA
rnacentral:rRNA from 1 species